AGUGUGCUGGAGGUAUCAGAAGUGCGAAUGCUGACAUGAGUAACGAUAAUGUGGGUGAAAAGCCCACACGCCGGAAGUCCCAGGUUUCCUGCACGACGUUAAUCGGAGCAGGGUGAGUCGGCCCCUAAGGCGAGGCUGAAGAGCGUAGUCGAUGGGAACCAGGUUAAUAUUCCUGGACUUUUUAUAAGUGGUGAAGUGGGGACGAAGAAGGCUAGGUGAGCCAGGCGUUGGUUGUCCUGGUACUUGCAUGUAGGGGGGAAGACUUGGCAAAUCCGGUUUUCCAUAACUCUGAGGUGCGAAGUGGUUCUGACCUUUUGGUACAGAGAAGUCAUUGAUGCCCGGCUUCCAGGAAAAGCUGCUAGCCAUAACUUAUAGAGAACCGUACCGCAAACCGACACAGGUGGACAGGUAGAGAAUACUAAGGCGCUUGAGAGAACUCGGGUGAAGGAACUAGGCAAAAUGGUACCGUAACUUCGGGAGAAGGUACGCCCUUUCUGGUGAUGGGAUUUACUUUCAGAGCUGGAGAGGGCCGCAGAGACCAGGUGGCUGCGACUGUUUAUUAAAAACACAGCACUCUGCAAAUUCGUAAGAAGACGUAUAGGGUGUGACGCCUGCCCGGUGCCGGAAGGUUAAUUGAUGGGGUUAUCUUCGGAGAAGCUCUUGAUCGAAGCCCCGGUAAACGGCGGCCGUAACUAUAACGGUCCUAAGGUAGCGAAAUUCCUUGUCGGGUAAGUUCCGACCUGCACGAAUGGCGUAACGAUGGCCACACUGUCUCCACCCGAGACUCAGUGAAAUUGAAAUCGCUGUGAAGAUGCAGUGUACCCGCGGCUAGACGGAAAGACCCCGUGAACCUUUACUAUAGUUUUGCACUGGACUUUGAUGAUGACUGUGUAGGAUAGGUGGGAGGCUGUGAAGUGAGGACGCUAGUUCUCAUGGAGCCGCCCUUGAAAUACCACCCUGUUGUUAUUGAGGUUCUAACUUGGUCCAGUAAUCCUGGAUGAGGACAGUGUAUGAUGGGUAGUUUGACUGGGGCGGUCUCCUCCCAAAGAGUAACGGAGGAGCACAAAGGUACCCUCGGUACGGUCGGACAUCGUACCAAGAGUGUAAAGGCAAAAGGGUGCUUGACUGCGAGAGUGACGGCUCGAGCAGGAACGAAAGUUGGUCUUAGUGAUCCGGUGGUUCUGAAUGGAAGGGCCAUCGCUCAACGGAUAAAAGGUACUCCGGGGAUAACAGGCUGAUACCGCCCAAGAGUUCAUAUCGACGGCGGUGUUUGGCACCUCGAUGUCGGCUCAUCACAUCCUGGGGCUGAAGCAGGUCCCAAGGGUAUGGCUGUUCGCCAUUUAAAGUGGUACGCGAGCUGGGUUUAGAACGUCGUGAGACAGUUCGGUCCCUAUCUGCCGUGGGCGUAGGAAAAUUGAGAGGAGCUGCUCCUAGUACGAGAGGACCGGAGUGGACGAACCUCUGGUGCACCGGUUGUCACGCCAGUGGCAUGGCCGGGUAGCUAAGUUCGGACGGGAUAACCGCUGAAAGCAUCUAAGCGGGAAGCCUCCCUCAAGAUGAGUUUUCCCAUGAAGCCCGUUGAAGACUACGACGUUGAUAGGCAAGGUGUGGAAGCGCAGUAAUGCGUGAAGCUAACUUGUACUAAUUGGCUGAUUGUCUUGACCAU
rnacentral:rRNA from 1 species